AACCAGCUGCUUGACAAGGUCCUCUAGUGAAGAUGUGGCUGGUGGAGCAGAAAGGGCUGCAGCUUGUGAUUGAUUCCCAUAUCGGAGGUUUUGAUGAUUCCUCCAACUAGGGUGAUAUUUGUUGGUGGAGAGGUCAGGAUUGCUGUACUUGUUUUGGGCAGGAAAUUAGCACAAAACUGAGACACUCCCAAGCAUCAUCUUUCCCAGACAUGCAGGAAUAUGUAUAUUCACGUAUUGAACUUAGCUUCAACUUUUUGGGCAGUGUAGA
rnacentral:lncRNA from 1 species